rnacentral:rRNA from 1 species
GACGGGGGGGGGCAAGUGUUCUUCGGAAUGACUGGGCGUAAAGGGCACGUAGGCGGUGAAUCGGGUUGAAAGUGAAAGUCGCCAAAAAAGUGGCGGAAUGCUCUCGAAACCAAUUCACUUGAGUGAGACAGAGGAGAGUGGAAUUUCGUGUGUAGGGGUGAAAUCCGUAAAUAUACGAAGGAACGCCAAAAGCGAAGGCAGCUCUCUGGGUCCCUACCGACGCUGGGGUGCGGAAGCAUGGGGAGCGAACAGG